GCAGACGGUACCCUAACUUGGAAGCAACUCGACUCCAAGUGGAACGAUCCCUGUGGUGUGAGGAAGCUUUGGAAGUGUGUUCAUGGAGUUCAGCAGGAUCGUGGGCAAGAACCUCAAGCAGGACUUUUAUGAGAACAUCGAUCGGCACAGUCUUCGUCUCCUGGAGUUAUUUGGAUCCAA